rnacentral:rRNA from 1 species
AUUGAACGCUGGCGGAAUGCUUUACACAUGCAAGUCGAACGGCAGCACGGACUUCGGUCUGGUGGCGAGUGGCGAACGGGUGAGUAACAUAUCGGAACGUAUCCAAUAAUGGGGGAUAACGAGUCGAAAGAUUCGCUAAUACCGCAUACGCCCUACGGGGGAAAGCUGGGGACCUUCGGGCCUGGCGUUAAUGGAGCGGCCGAUAUCCGAUUAGCUAGCUGGUGAGGUAAAGGCUCACCAAGGCGACGAUCAGUAGCUGGUCUGAGAGGACGACCAGCCACACUGGAACUGAGACACGGUCCAGACUCCUACGGGAGGCAGCAGUGGGGAAUUUUGGACAAUGGGCGCAAGCCUGACCCAGCCAUUCCGCGUGAGUGAAGAAGGCCUUCGGGUUGUAAAGCUCUUUCGCAAGGGAAGAAAACUUAGCCACUAACAUUGGUUGAGGUUGACGGUACCUUGAUAAGAAGCACCGGCUAACUACGUGCCAGCCGCCGCGGUAA